rnacentral:rRNA from 1 species
UAAUACGUACUGUGCGAACGUUAUUCGGAAUCACUGGGCUUAAAGGGUGCGUAGGCGGCCAAUUAAGUAGGGUGUGAAAGGCUUCGGCUCAACCGGAGCAUUGCGCUCUAGACUGAUUGGCUCGAGUGAGAUAGGGGUGUGCGGAACUUCCAGUGGAGCGGUGAAAUGUGUUGAUAUUGGAAGGAACGCCGGUGGCGAAAGCGGCACACUGGGUCUUAACUGACGCUGAGGCACGAAAGCCAGGGGAGCGAACGGGAUUAGAUACCCCGGUAGUCCUGGCUGUAAACGAUGAGCACUAGACGGGAGGGGCUUUAUGCCCAUUCGGUCGUCGCGAAAGCACUAAGUGCUCCGCCUGGGGAGUAUGGUCGCAAGGCUG